CUAGUGGAUGCAUAAUGUAACUCCAGCCUCUACUGUACCGUCUAUAGAGCUUUGGAGCUGACGUCACAGCGUAUGACGUUUACGUCGCUCGGCGCCAUGUUUGCAGCCCACAGACCAAAACAAACUAGUCAGAACACCGGUGUUUUCAUUGUAUUACCGACCGCAGCGAAGGAUAUUCGCCCUCCGCGGAGUAAGGGACGUUCAGCUCAAGGUUGAUCCGAUUUAUGAACGCUAAUUUCGGCCAGCUGUUCACAUAGGGACCGUCAAUUUCCAAACACUCCUAUAAAUAAAUGCUUUGUCUUGUGACCAACUAAUA